rnacentral:rRNA from 1 species
UACGUAGGAUGCAAGCGUUGUCCGGAAUUAUUGGGCGUAAAGAGCUCGUAGGCGGUUUGUCGCGUCUGCUGUGAAAACUGGGGGCUCAACCCCCAGCCUGCAGUGGGUACGGGCAGACUAGAGUGCGGUAGGGGGAGAUUGGAAUUCCUGUGUAGCGGUGGAAUGCGCAGAUAUCAGGAGGAACACCGAUGGCGAAGGCAGAUCUCUGGGCCGUAACUGACGCUGAGGAGCGAAAGCAUGGGGAGCGAACAGG